GCUACCUGCCGCCCCUUAAAUGAAGAUCAGAUCAAAUUUUAUGCAGAACUCCAGGUAAUUCCAAAGGGUUCACAUACUUUUUCUUGCCAAUGUAUAUUUUUUAGCUAUGUUAUUAACUGAAGCUGUUAGAGAGAGAGAAUGGAGCUAGCAGAGGGAGGGGCAGUGUGUUUGACUGUGUCGCUGAGUGGUACGAGGAGGAGAGAGACAGCACCAAUCAAGCCGACUCGCAGUAGUUACUAACUUCUAGCUGCCAAAGCUAAGUUAUUUAUUGUCUAAUCUGAUUACAUAGUACCUGUUUUGACUGCAUAAAACCGAGAUGAAAAGCUAGUUAAGCAAGUUAGCUAACUAGCUGGGUUGGCUAAUCAAAGCACUUUCCCCCAUCCGACACACCAACAACAACAACUCCAUUCAAAUGAUUAGGAGCCAGAGGUGAGUUCCGCUUUGACUUGUGAUUGGCCGACAAAAACAACAAGCUAUACAUGCCUCUCUCAUGAACAGCUGCAGCAGCAUAAACAAGACAAUUUCUCCCCCUCUACUGCAGCAGUAACUUUCGUGUCUGUACGGGCCCUUACUUGCAAAUCCGUUUUAAUUAUACAUACCCAAGACCUGUGACCAUCAGAUCCAACCCGGGUCCGAGGGUCAACUAAAGAAUUUCAGACCCGACCUGGUCGGUCCUGGGUAAUCGAGUUCGGGUGGACCCUUGAAGACCUCUAUCCCAGACAGUCCUGGCAAAAUUCUGUCUUUGUUAAGAAGACAUUCCACCAACACCUGGGAUAUGGAUGCCUGAGGAAGACAUUCCACCAACACCUGGGAUAUGGAUGCCUGAGGAAGACAUUCCACCAACACCUGGGAUAUGGAUGCCUGAGGAAGACAUUCCACCAACACCUGGGAUAUGGAUGCCUGAGGAAGACAUUCCACCAACACCUGGGAUAUGGAUGCCUGAGGAAGACAUUCCACCAACACCUGGGAUAUGGAUGCCUGAGGAAGACGCAAAACGUUGUAACAAUAACAUCACCUGGGAGUAAAGCAUCGUUUCUGUUUCAGAAUAGAUCUGGUAUUGUGUAACAAAUUAAAGUAAUGUUCUCUAUCUCCCUCUCUACUCUCUCUCUCUCUCUCUGGAUUUCCCCAGGCACACAGAACAUAUGUCUGAUCAUUCUCAACCAGCCUUUGGAAACAGGGUACCUGCACACACACAGGAGUAAAGGUAUUCAUCUCUUUCCUUUAUAAGUGACGGGUACCAACAUCUAUCAUUCUUUAUCAUAUCGAUAUCAUUGAGCAAGAUUUAUCUUUCCUCUUGGCUUGUGAAAGUAACCCUAAGCAUACAUGACUGUUCCACAAAACCCUUCAUACAGGCUAUCAAGUCAGCAUACAUGACUGUUCCACAAAACCCUUCGUACAGGCUAUCAAGUCAGCAUACAUGACUGUUCCACAAAACCCUUCAUACAGGCUAUCAAGUCAGCAUACAUGACUGUUCCACAAAACCCUUCAUACAGGCUAUCAAGUCAGCAUACAUGACUGUUCCACAAAACCCUUCAUACAGGCUAUCAAGUCAGCAUACAUGACUGUUCCACAAAACCCUUCAUACAGGCUAUCAAGUCAGCAUACAUGACUGUUCCACAAAACCCUUCAUACAGGCUAUCAAGUCAGCAUACAUGACUGUUCCACAAAACCCUUCGAUACAGGCUAUCAAGUCAGCAUACAUGACUGUUCCACAAAACCCUUCGUACAGGCUAUCAAGUCAGCAUACAUGACUGUUCCACAAAACCCUUCGAUACAGGCUAUCAAGUCAGCAUACAUGACUGUUCCACAAAACCCUUCGUACAGGCUAUACAAUCAUACAUGAUUGGCCCUCUGAUGGCCCAUCAGAGGUGUAUGGGCUUCCUGUUGAAUUCAGACGGGUUGGCUUCCAGAACAUUCACAACCGGCCCUUUAGCCAAUCAGCCAAACUGUUGUGGACUCCACAGAGCCGUGGGGGUAAAGAGCAACGUGAACAUCGAAAUAGUAGUGCGGGAGUUUUAUUUCAAUAUUUAUCGAUAUCGUAUCAAAAAAUGCAACUAAUAUUGCUGUAGAAUGUCCAUAUCAGUGACCAUCACUAUUAUUAAUCAAAGGAAAUGAAAUGUAUUCUAAAGCUAAGACUGGACAUUAGGUGUGUACUGAUAUAGUAUUGACCUUCUCUAAACCAACCGUCCUCUUGGAGACCUACUGGGAAUGCAGGCUGCUGUUCCACUUCUACACAAACACAGCUGUUUGUUGGGGGGGGGGCGGCAUCUUUUGAAGCUGUUCUUUAUUCCUUAUCUUUACAUUCUUUAUUGCAAUGUGUUUGCCAGUACACACCCCUCUCGUGACACGUGCGCUUGUUCAAAACGGAAUCUCUCUCCCGCUCUGCUGAAUGCAUUAGUUCUAUUAAACAAGGUGCUUUGAGACAGAAUGCUUCUGUCGCUCCUUUGAAGUCUUUCCUUGUGACACAAACAGACUUCUGAAAGCCUCCUGUUCAAUAUGUAUAGCAUUAGUAAGUUGUGAUGUUUGCAAACAGUAUGCUUCAAAUUCCAUAAAACAUGAAUACCAUUUAAAAGUGGCAAUUGGGGAACCGCAUAUAUUGUUGGGUGAAUUUUUUAAAUAUAUAUUGUAACACUUUAUGUUUAGGAGCAAUGGUAAAUAAAAUAUAAAAGAUUUUGCACACAACAAGCAAAUACUCUUAGAUUCAUCUUAUCUAGAUUCAACCACCUGUUUCAGCAAAUGAAUAUCUCUCUGUAGGUCUACUGCAGGUCUCUGUAGGUCUACUGCAGGUCUCUGUAGGUCUACUGCAGGUCUCUGUAGGUCUACUGCAGGUCUCUGUAGGUCUACUGCAGGUCUCUGUAGGUCUCCGUAGGUGGGGAGGCCAACCACCUGUAUAACAUCACCACUGGACAAUGAGACCGGUACCCAGCCAUGAUGACCCCACCAUGAGGACCCCACCAUGAGGACCCCACCAUGAGGACCCCACCAUGAUGACCCCACCAUGAUGACCCCACCAUGAGGACCCCACCAUGAGGACCCCACCAUGAGGACCCACCAUGAUGACUAGUAAGUGUCGGUUGAUAGAGACAGCCGAUCAGGAGCUGACUGACUUCACUAAAUGUCUGGCCAUCAUGGUGGAGGAGAUCAAAACACAACCGCUUCGGGCCCGAUCCAUUCCCAAACUUGAAGCCCUCUGUCCCCAGCAGGAAAAUCCCAGGAAAAAGUGUUGGCUUAAGGUAACCGUGUUUCCACCAAGCUGUUCGUGGCCUGGAGUGGCACGCUGGAACUUCCAGAGGCUUGAAGACCUGAAGCCAUGUGAUGUGGUCCAGCUCAACACCAGUCCUCACAGCUGCAUUCAUCAGCCCCUGCACCUGCUACACCGGCUGUGACAGAUCUGCCACCCCCAGCAGUUCAUCUGCAGUCACAGCAGUCCUCUGCUGUGGUAUUUAAUUUACCGGCUGCACCAGGUCCUACUACACUGGCCGUGAAGAGAGAAACUAUUGAGGAAAACCCAGAUGGAUACAGAUCGGCCAUGCUCUCCACCAGUGCCCGACAGCCUCACACAGAGGUGCAUAUAUGGGGCCUAUCAAGACUGACAAAGCAGAGAUGGGUGGCUGACAAGGAAACAUAAAACAUGCACACACACGCUCUCUCUCUGUGUCUCUGUCUCCCACACACACACACACACACACACACACACAUUAUCCCCAAUAUAAAUCAAUUGUAAUAACUUGUUUAUUUUAUGAAUCUUCCAUUUUAUUUUAGGAUUGGAGAUAUCUACUGUAUGCCUACAUUUCCAUUAUCAAUAUCUACAUAAUUACUCUAAAUAUCUACCAAAUCAAAGUGAUAUUGAUAAUAUUGUAAAACAGUAUUGCUUAAUGUGUACAGUUUGAGGAAAUUCUGUGUGCACAUAAAACAUAGCCCACUCUCACACACACACACAUUAGACCCAAUGUAGAUACAUUGUUUAUUUUAUUUUAUGCUACAUUUUAUUUGAGGAUUAUGUGCAAUAAAUUACAUUCACAGUUA